GAUAAUGUCUCGGGUAGAGGGGAUCUCCUUGCCAACUAGCCAGAAGCAUGUAAAAGAAAAUCAAACCAAUUGGGGUCGUCCUUUUAGCCGAUCUUUUUCAUGCCCACUACCUCUUCCAAACGGAACCCUUUGCCAAGGAAAAUUGAGGCAGCUUUGUGAGUCUCAUACAAAUUUUUCAUCAAUCCAUGAUCCCAAGACUGGGGCAGAUUUGCAAGUUUCAUUUAAUUUGUUGACCCUAAUUUUCAUGGAUCCAUACCCCUAUGCUCAUUUUCCCAAACACUAAACUGGGGAAAAACUUUUUGGUAUAUCGUGUUUUGUCUUCCCACUCACAUAUUACAUCUCCGUCAAGAAGUGUAUGAGGAAUGAUGUGCCCACAUGGUUGACCUAUUCUUCUCCAAACCCUCCAAAACAUCUCUCAUUUUUCACCUACUAGUUCAAGCAUGUGUGCACUGAUGUCUCGAAAGAAAAAGUCAAAAUGCAAUAAUCUCAAAAGGUCCACUCAAAAUCUGCCAGCCCAAACCAGGCCUACAGACUCCACGGUCAACCACCGCAACCCCGCUACCAACCAUCAUGCGAAAUGGUUGUCGCUGCCACCACAACUACGGUGAGAAUCCAAAACCAAAACGAAGCAGAACACCCUCCCCUACAAGACCGAGAACCCUAACACGCAACAACAACACCCAAAUCCCCAAUUCAUGAUCAUCAACCUGCAGAGAAGAUCAAAUGAACAACUCCAAAAUCCCUGAUUUCCAAUUUCAGAAACCUAAACCCAAUGUCACAACGGUAAAACUCCAAAUCGCGUUUCAAAUCUGUAGAGAAGGAGCAAAAACAACCCCCCUCAAAUCACGAGCCUCACACGAGAAUAGGAUGCCCU
rnacentral:lncRNA from 1 species